AGCUAAUACCGCAUAACGUCGCAAGACCAAAGUGGGGGACCUUCGGGCCUCAUGCCAUCAGAUGUGCCCAGAUGGGAUUAGCUAGUAGGUGGGGUAACGGCUCACCUAGGCGACGAUCCCUAGCUGGUCUGAGAGGAUGACCAGCCACACUGGAACUGAGACACGGUCCAGACUCCUACGGGAGGCAGCAGUGGGGAAUAUUGCACAAUGGGCGCAAGCCUGAUGC
rnacentral:rRNA from 1 species